CGGGGGGCCGGGGCGGCCGCGGGAAACCGAGGAAAGUCCGGACUCCACGAAGCGACGGUGCCGGGUAACGCCCGGGCGGGGCAACCCGACGGAAAGCGCCACAGAGAACAGUCCGCCCUCGCAUGCGGGGGCAAGGGUGAAACGGUGGGGUAAGAGCCCACCGGGGGGACGGCAACGUCCCCCGCAUGGCAAGCCCCACCGGGAGCAAUGCCGAAUAGGGACCGCGGAUCGGGUGCUUCGCCCGGCGGUCCGGGUUGGCAGCUUCAGGCCCGCCGCGAGGCGGUGCCGAGAUGAAUGGUCGCCGCCCCGAAGGGGGAACAGAAUCCGGCUUACACGGCCCCCCGCACC
rnacentral:RNase_P_RNA from 2 species